GUGGGGAAUUUUGGACAAUGGGCGAAAGCCUGAUCCAGCCAUGCCGCGUGCAGGAUGAAGGCCUUCGGGUUGUAAACUGCUUUUGUACGGAACGAAAAGACUCCUUCGAAUAAAGGGGGUCCAUGACGGUACCGUAAGAAUAAGCACCGGCUAACUACGUGCCAGCAGCCGCGGUAAUACGUAGGGUGCAAGCGUUAAUCGGAAUUACUGGGCGUAAAGCGUGCGCAGGCGGUUAUAUAAGACAGAUGUGAAAUCCCCGGGCUCAACCUGGGAACUGCAUUUGUGACUGUAUAGCUAGAGUACGGUAGAGGGGGAUGGAAUUCCGCGUGUAGCAGUGAAAUGCGUAGAUAUGCGGAGGAACACCGAUGGCGAAGGCAAUCCCCUGGACCUGUACUGACGCUCAUGCACGAAAGCGUGGGGAGCAAACAGGAUUAGAAACCCGGGUAGUCC
rnacentral:rRNA from 1 species